UCUGUUGGCCAGACAAAAAAAUAGAAAAGGGAAAAAAAAUUUGUUUUCAUCUCUCUCUCUUUCUCUCGCCAUCGAGAGCCACAUGAUCCCUUCCUGUUCUUGAUUCUCAAUGAACCCAACACAGACCCUUUACUCUCCCGGCGGGAACUCUCCGGCGACACACUCUCGCCGCCGCGGAGAUACUCCGAUUCUGUGCUACCUCCGAUCUCCAUCACCGUGACCUCGAUUACGCACAUAAGAUCUUCAAUCAGAUGCCUCAACGAAAUUGCUUCUCUUGGAAUACAAUAAUCAGAGGUUUCAGUGAGAGCGAUGAAGAAGACAAAGCUGUAAUCGCAAUCGCAUUGUUCUGUGAGAUGAUGAGCGAUGAGUUCGUUGAACCGAACCGGUUCACGUUUCCUUCUGUGCUUAAGGCUUGUGCGAAAACAGGGAAGAUUCAACAAGAUUGUGGAGGAUGCUUUGCUCUGUGGGUGAUGGUUCUGAUGGAUCGUUGUCUUCUCUGAGCGACAUCUUCAGACCAUCGAGAUUAAUGUGUGAGGGUUGGAAGAGAAGAAAGAAACAUUGUGAAAGUGAAUGGUUUGCGUAUGAAGGUAGAACCAUACACGGAGAUGUUCAUAUUAGUUCUGUAAUUGUAAAUUUACUCAGAUUUUUGUCUUUUUUUUCUUCAAGAUGCAAGCUUUUUGUAAUUAUAGUUUAAUCAUUUAUACUACUUCUAAUCUAUUUAAAAUUUUAAAAUUUCAAAAAA